GAUGAACGCUGGCGGCGUGCCUAAUACAUGCAAGUCGAGCGAACAGACGAGGAGCUUGCUUCUCUGACGUUAGCGGCGGACGGGUGAGUAACACGUGGAUAACCUACCUAUAAGACUGGGAUAACUUCGGGAAACCGUAGCUAAUACCGGAUAAUAUUUUGAACCGCAUGGUUCAAUAGUGAAAGACGGUCUUGCUGUCACUUAUAGAUGGAUCCGCGCUGCAUUAGCUAGUUGGUAAGGUAACGGCUUACCAAGGCAACGAUGCAUAGCCGACCUGAGAGGGUGAUCGGCCACACUGGAACUGAGACACGGUCCAGACUCCUACGGGAGGCAGCAGUAGGGAAUCUUCCGCAAUGGGCGAAAGCCUGACGGGGCAACGCCGCGUGAGUGAUGAAGGUCUUCGGAUCGUAAAACUCUGUUAUUAGGGAAGAACAUAUGUGUAAGUAACUGUGCACAUCUUGACGGUACCUAAUCAGAAAGCCACGGCUAACUACGUG
rnacentral:rRNA from 1 species